rnacentral:rRNA from 1 species
AUGGCCGGGGAGUGCACCAAGCGCAUGCACGCACUAGUACUUCUCCUUCUCGUAUGCUUCACUAUUCAUGCGCAAUGCAGAUGCAUUGAGGCGGACAAGGAGGUUCAACUUGAGUAUAUCAAGAAGAGUCAACCCAUCCCAAGAUGCUGCCUAGAUAAACAUAGUGACUACUGUUGUUCACUCAAUUUGGUUUGCUACGACACCAUUGAUCAGUGCACAGCCAGCUGCUCAAUUUCAGUUUCGUCUGCAAUCGUGUCCUCGUCCUCAUCAUCGUCCGUGCUUCCAUGA